rnacentral:rRNA from 1 species
GACGAACGCUGGCGGCGUGCUUAACACAUGCAAGUCGAACGGUGAAGCCCUUCGGGGUGGAUCAGUGGCGAACGGGUGAGUAACACGUGAGCAACCUGCCCCUGGCUCUGGGACAACCACUGGAAACGGUGGCUAAUACCGGAUACGACCCGCCUCGGCAUCGAGUGUGGGUGGAAAGUUUUUUGGCUGGGGAUGGGCUCGCGGCCUAUCAGCUUGUUGGUGAGGUAUAGGCUCACCAAGGCGACGCCGGGUAGCCGGCCUGAGAGGGGGACCGGCGACACGGGGACUGAGACACGGCCCAGACUCCUACGGGAGGCAGAAGUGGGGAAUAUUGCACAAUGGGCGAAAGCCUGAGGCAGCGACGCCGCGUGAGGGAAGACGGCCUUCGGGUUGUAAACCUCUUUCAGCUCCGAAGAAGCGAAAGUGACGGUAGGAGCAGAAGAAGCACCGGCUAACUACGUG